rnacentral:rRNA from 1 species
GGAAAGGUGGGGGGAGAGGCGGGGUUAAUGCGGUGGGGGGAGGGGUGACUGGGAAGUACGGGGCGUAAGGCGGGCGGAGGUGGUGGCUUAAGUCUGCUGGGAAAGCCCUGGGCUCAACCUGGGAAUGGCGGUGGAUACUGAGGGGCUAGAGGGCGGUAGAGGAGGGUGGAAUGCCCGGUGUAGCGGUGAAAUGCGUAGAGAUCGGGAGGAACAUCAGUGGCGAAGGCGGCCCUCUGGACCAGCACUGACGCUGAGGCACGAAAGCGUGGGGAGCAAACAGGAUUAGAUACCCGGGUAGUC